GUGAACCAGGGAGGCGGAGCUUGCAGUGAGCAGAGAUCGCACCACUGAACUCCAGCCUGGACGACAGAGCGAGACUCCGUCUCAAAAAAAAAAAAAAAAAAAAAAAAGAAAGAAGACAGGAAACAGAUCACGCUGAGUUUUUACUGCAAGAAACCUAUGAAAAGUACCCAUUACUAAUAGCACUCAGGAGAAUAGAAGAGAUGGAAAUAAAGGAGGCAAGAAUGGUUUACAGAUCCAGCUGAAACCGAAUGGAAGGAAAGGCAGUGGAUUUCAUCAAGAUCCUACAGACAAGGUGUAAGAUCUGUAAUUUCGAAAGGACAUAUACACAAACUCAUUCAGCCACAUUCCAGUCUAGAAUUAACAUGAAGAAAAUCUAUUAACAAUGGUAAAGCUUUUUUCCUCUCCAAAUGAAUAUGGCAAUACCCAUUCUGGAGAACUCUUAUUCUCUGUUGAAAUAACACCACUUUUCUAUAUGGCCAUCUAGCAAUAAAUAUAAAAAUG
rnacentral:lncRNA from 1 species